rnacentral:rRNA from 1 species
UACGGGGGGGGCAAGCGUUGUUCGGAAUUACUGGGCGUAAAGGGCUCGUAGGCGGCCAACUAAGUCGGAUGUGAAAUCCCCAGGCUUAACCUGGGAACUGCAUCCGAUACUGGAUGGCUUGAAUCCGGGAGAGGGAUGCAGAAUUCCAGGUGUAGCGGUGAAAUGCGUAGAUAUCUGGAGGAACACCGGUGGCGAAGGCGACAUCCUGGAUCGACACUGACGCUAAGGCGCGAAAGCGUGGGGAGCAAACAGG